rfam:Buttiauxella agrestis ATCC 33320 GBAG.assembly.001, whole genome shotgun sequence.
GUAGAUGCUCAUUCCACUUCUUAUGUUUGCUUAGGCUUCAUAAACCCAGGAAUGACGCAGAGCCGAUUACGGUGCUUAUCGUCCACCGACAGAUGUCGUCUUUCAGACCUCAUCCAACACCAUGGACACAACGUUGAGUGAAGCACCACUUAGUUGUCAUACAGACCUGUUUUAACACCUGCCUAUUGGCAGGUGUUUUUUU